CCCGAAAUGCCCAGUGCUGUCCCAGUAAAGCACUGGUUUUGCUGACGUCACAGCCCGUUGCCGGCCUCCCGCGUUCCACACAACAUUCCGACGCGGUGGUCGCUGCUGCUCGUGGCUGUGGCAGUGUCCUGCUGCUCUGGAGAGCAAAGCUCACCCAUUGGACUGUUUUUUGAGGGGAAACCCGAAGUUUUCCUGCCCGAUGGGGCGCAUAAAGACUGUCGUGGCCACAGGGUAACGCUGGGUGUGGGAGAGGGGGGGUGGAAGUUGGUGGCAGAAGAAUGAGUGAUGUUUUGCUGGGAAAUAGGGACUGGUUUUGCCCAGACUCGUCGGGUUUUCCCUCUUUUGAAGCGUUUGUUGCGCCGUAUCUGUUCCCGACUUGCCUUCCUCACCCUCCUCUUCCUCACCCUCCUCUUCCUCACACCAAAUAACCUUCUCUUCCUCACCCCAAAUCUCCUCUUCCUCACCCCCAAACCUCCUCCUUUUCCUCUCCCUCCUCUUCCUCACCCCUAAUCCCCUCUUCUUCUUCACCCUCCUCUUCCUCACCCCAAAUCAUCUCCUCUUCCUCACCCCAAUCCCCUCCUCUUCUUCUCCCUCCUCUUCCUCACCCCAAAUCUCCUCUUCCUCACCCCCAAACCUCCUCCUUUUCCUCUCCCUCCUCUUCCUCACCCCUAAUCCCCUCUUCUUCUUCACCCUCCUCUUCCUCACCCCAAAUCAUCUCCUCUUCCUCACCCCAAUCCCCUCCUCUUCUUCUCCCUCCUCUUCCUCACCCCAAAUCUCCUCUUCCUCACCCCCAAACCUCCUCCUUUUCCUCUCCCUCCUCUUCCUCACCCCUAAUCCCCUCUUCUUCUUCACCCUCCUCUUCCUCACCCCAAAUCAUCUCCUCUUCCUCACCCCAAUCCCCUCCUCUUCUUCUCCCUCCUCUUCCUCACCCCAAAUCUCCUCUUCCUCACCCCCAAACCUCCUCCUUUUCCUCUCCCUCCUCUUCCUCACCCCUAAUCCCCUCUUCUUCUUCACCCUCCUCUUCCUCACCCCAAAUCAUCUCCUCUUCCUCACCCCAAUCCCCUCCUCUUCUU
rnacentral:lncRNA from 1 species